GAUGAACGCUGGCGGCGUGCCUAAUACAUGCAAGUCGAGCGAACGGACGAGAAGCUUGCUUCUCUGAUGUUAGCGGCGGACGGGUGAGUAACACGUGGAUAACCUACCUAUAAGACUGGGAUAACUUCGGGAAACCGGAGCUAAUACCGGAUGAUAUUUUGAACCGCAUGGUUCAAAAGUGAAAGACGGUCUUGCUGUCACUUAUAGAUGGAUCCGCGCUGCAUUAGCUAGUUGGUAAGGUAACGGCUUACCAAGGCAACGAUGCAUAGCCGACCUGAGAGGGUGAUAGGCCACACGGGAACGGAGACACGGACCAGACUCCUACGGGAGGCAGCAGUAGGGAAUCUGCCGCAAUGGGCGAAAGCCUGACGGAGCAAGGCCGCGUGAGUGAUGAAGGUCUUCGGAGCGUAAAAAUCUGUUAUGAGUGAAGAACAUAUGUGUAAGUAACUGUGCACAGCGUGACGGUACCUAAUCAGAAAGCCACGGCUAACUACGUG
rnacentral:rRNA from 1 species